UACGGAGGGUGCAAGCGUUAUUCGGAAUUACUGGGCGUAAAGCGCGUGUAGGCGGGGGUACAAGUCUGAUGUGAAAGCCCUGGGCUUAACCUGGGAAGUGCAUUGGAAACGGUAUCUCUUGAGUACUGGAGAGGAAGGGGGAAUUCCCGGUGUAGAGGUGAAAUUCGUAGAGAUCGGGAGGAAUACCAGUGGCGUAGGCGCCUUUCUGGACGGUUACUGACGCUGAGACGCGAAAGCGUGGGGAGCAAACAGG
rnacentral:rRNA from 1 species